GACGAACGCUGGCGGCGUGCUUAACACAUGCAAGUCGAACGGAAAGGCCCUGCUUGCAGGGUGCUCGCGUGGCGAACGGGUGAGUAACACGCGGGUGAACAGCCCCUUACUUUGGGAUAAGCCUGGGAAACUGGGUCGAAUACAGGAUAGGAACAUGCUGUAGGCGGUGUGGUGGAUAGAGUAGUUCCGGUCAGGGAUGAGCUCGCGGCCGAUCAGCUCGUCGGUGGGGUACUGGCCUAACAAGGCGUCGACGGGUAGCCGGCCUGAGAGGGUGGGCGGCCCCGUUCGGACUCCGACGCGGCGCAGCCUCCUACGAGCGGCCGCAGUGGGGAAUAUUCCGCCAUGGGCGCACGCCUGAUGCGGCGACGCCGCGUGGGGCGUGACGGCCUUCUGGUUGUAAACUCCUUUCGGCCAUGUCGCAGCCCUUGUGUUGACGGUAGUGGUAGAAGAAGCCCCGGCUAACUACGUG
rnacentral:rRNA from 1 species